UACGAAGGGGGCUAGCGUUGCUCGGAAUCACUGGGCGUAAAGCGCACGUAGGCGGCUUUCUAAGUCAGGGGUGAAAUCCUGGAGCUCAACUCCAGAACUGCCUUUGAUACUGGAAAGCUUGAGUUCGGGAGAGGUGAGUGGAACUGCGAGUGUAGAGGUGAAAUGCGUAGAUAUCGGGAGGAACACCUGUGGCGAAAGCGGCUCACUGGACCAUAACUGACGCUGAUGCACGAAAGCUAGGGGAGCAACAGG
rnacentral:rRNA from 1 species